UCCAGGGUAGCCAAGUGGACAUGGCACCUGCCCGGUAAGCAGAAGGUUGUGGGUUCGAUUCCCGCCCCUGGGC